rnacentral:rRNA from 1 species
UACGUAGGUGGCAAGCGUUGUCCGGAUUUACUGGGUGUAAAGGGAGCGCAGGCGGGACGGCAAGUUGGAUGUGAAAAACUGAGGCUCAACCUCAGUCCUGCAUCCAAAACUGUUGUUCUUGAGUGGAGCAGAGGUAAGCGGAAUUCCGAGUGUAGCGGUGAAAUGCGUAGAUAUUCGGAGGAACACCAGUGGCGAAGGCGGCUUACUGGACUCUAACUGACGCUGAGGCUCGAAAGCGUGGGGAGCAAACAGGAUUAGAUACCCU